CGUUGUCCGGAUUUAUUGGGCGUAAAGGGAGCGCAGGCGGUUUAGUAAGUCUGAAGUUAAAGGCAUUGGCUCAACCAAUGUAUGCUUUGGAAACUGUUAGACUUGAGUGCAGAAGGGGAGAGUGGAAUUCCAUGUGUAGCGGUGAAAUGCGUAGAUAUAUGGAGGAACACCGGUGGCGAAAGCGGCUCUCUGGUCUGUCACUGACGCUGAGGCUCGAAAGCGUGGGUAGCGAACAGGAUUAGAUACCCUGGUAGUCCACGCCGUAAACGCUGAGUGCUAGGUGUUAGGUCCUUUCCGGGACUUAGUGCCGACGCUAACGCAUUAAGCACUCCGCCUGGGGAGUACGACCGCAAGGUUGAAACUCAAAGGAAUUGACGGGGGCCCGCACAAGCGGUGGAGCAUGUGGUUUAAUUCGAAGCAACGCGAAGAACCUUACCAGGUCUUGACAUCCCGAUGCCCGCUCUAGAGAUAGAGUUUUUCUUCGGAACAUCGGAGACAGGUGGUGCAUGGUUGUCGUCAGCUCGUGUCGUGAGAUGUUGGGUUAAGUCCCGCAACGAGCGCAACCCUUAUUGUUAGUUGCCAUCAUUAAGUUGGGCACUCUAGCGAGACUGCCGGUAAUAAACCGGAGGAAGGUGGGGAUGACGUCAAAUCAUCAUGCCCCUUAUGACCUGGGCUACACACGUGCUACAAUGGUUGGUACAACGAGUCGCAAGCCGGUGACGGCAAGCUAAUCUCUGAAAGCCAAUCUCAGUUCGGAUUGUAGGCUGCAACUCGCCUACAUGAAGUCGGAAUCGCUAGUAAUCGCGGAUCAGCACGCCGCGGUGAAUACGUUCCCGGGCCUUGUACACACCGCCCGUCACACCACGAGAGUUUGUAACACCCAAAGUCGGUGAGGUAACCAUUUAUGGGGCCAGCCGCCUAAGGUGGGAUGGAUGAUUGGGGUGAAGUCGUAACAAGGUAACC
rnacentral:rRNA from 1 species